rnacentral:rRNA from 1 species
UACGAAGGGGGCUAGCGUUGUUCGGAAUUACUGGGCGUAAAGCGCACGUAGGCGGAUCAGCAAGUCAGGGGUGAAAUCCCGGGGCUCAACCUCGGAACUGCCUCUGAUACUGCUGGUCUAGAGUCCGGAAGAGGUGGGUGGAAUUCCUAGUGUAGAGGUGAAAUUCGCAGAUAUUAGGAAGAACACCGGUGGCGAAGGCGGCCCACUGGUCCGGUACUGACGCUGAGGUGCGAAAGCGUGGGGAGCAAACAGG